AAAUAUACUGUAUGCAUUACUGAUGGAGCAAUAGAUAGUUUUACCAUAAACCCUCAACAAAAAUCUUUUCUGCAGGAAAUUUAACUGGACAUACAUUUUUGUGCAAAAUAUUAACUCAGGAAAUCGACAUUCAGGUUUUCAAAUACAUAUUUAAGUAAAACGUAUAGGGUUUUAAUGUAGAAUUUGGCCUAGUAGACAAAGCUGUGCUGUAAAUGAAGUAAAUGAGCUGCUGGUAAAUUAAUCAAAAAUGUUUUUUCCUAUUUAACAGUGUUAAAAGGGGGUAACGCCUGUAUGUACCAUUGAACUCUACCUUGAGAAUUGACAGUAACAGUACACACUAGAAAUAUCAGAUUCCUGACAUCUGUGUCUGUCAAUCAAGGGGCAAAGGGGAGCACAGUGCAGGGUGCUUAUGACCCGGUUUCAGAUUAAAAGCCGCCAUUAACACGAAUGUUCUAACCAUUCAGCCCAUGUUGCAGCUAAACUGAAGCGUCAUAUAAGACUAACAGUAAAUCACGACCUAAAGGACUCAACAAGCCAGAAAACACAAUGUCUUAUGACCGAAUUCUGUCCAUUGAAGAUUUGAGCGAUGUUCCAAACCCAUGGAAAGGAUUUAGUAUGAACCGCUGCUUAGUGGUGACACUGGUCGUGCUGCUCGUGAGCUCCAGUGUGCACACAGUGCACGAUGCUCUGGAGUAUUUUGUUGAGGAGACAGGUAUCAGGAGUUUCAUCAGAAGUGUGCAGGAUGGCUCAAUAACUCAGAUCUCCAUCUGGGACAGUAUAACGUGGUGGUGGGGAUCUGAAGAAGUUGGAGUGAUAAGAAGAAGAAAAAAGCCAAUAAGCAAUAGAACAAUUAUGAAACCCAAAGCUAAAGAAUAAAGAAGCUCCUGAAAGUCACAA